CGAGCUGGGGAAGGCAGAGCCGGCGAGGAGGAGGAGGAGGAGGAAGGAGAGGGAGGGAGGACACGUCUCCUACGAGCGCGCUGAAUUAUUCAUCCCGCGGGCAGGGGGGCCGAGGCCGAGGCUAAUGAGCCCUCGGGGAGCUGAGCAGGGGGGUUUCAAACGCGCCCGCCGGGCGCCGAUUAACCCCUUCCCCGCCGGGCGGGACGGUGCGGCCACCUGGGACGCGGGGCGCUCGGCGCCGCGGCCACCUCCGUGCCUCAGUUUCCCCAACAGAUGCCGGGAGGGCAGGCUGGGGUGAAGCACCCCAUUUUGGGCCCUGUCUGGACGGUUCACACCAGUGCAUGGGACCCUUGGGGGAGGCGGGUGGGAGACCCCCCCCCCCGGCCGGCGUGGGGCCCUUGGGCUCCCAGUCCUGCCCCAUGGGACGGGGACGAAGCCGCUCCGGGGCUGGCGUCACCACGCAGGGACAUGGGGGACGUUCGCAGGGACGGACCCGCAGGCACAGGGUCCCCAAGACGCCCCCUGCCCUUGGGGGCCGGGCCCCCACGGCCGCCUCGGGGCGCGCAUGGGUCUCCGCGAUUUUCCCCGUGGAAAUUUCCAGCAGCAGCAAACUUCCCUGCAGGCAGAGCGAGGGCACGCGGCUGCGGAUCCCCCCAGCCCUGGCGGAAGCAGGCGUCAGCCCGGGCUCCCCUCCCCGUGAAAGGCGCCUCCAACUUGGCUUUCAAAACUUUCCGACCUUGGCAGAUCCGUGGGAGAGGAGGGCGAGCGCCCGCCCCAGCCCGACACUGCGCCAGCCGCUGGCGCCGAGCCCCAUGCCAAGCUGGCCCCGGUGCACGGUGCUGUACACACCGGCAGCGGGAGGAAGCCGGGCCCUGCCCCAUGUCCCCCCACCGCGUUGUCCCAGCCAGAGGGGACGCGGACCCUGGCGGUGCCGUUGGGCCUCCGAGGGGGUGGGGGCCGGCGCCAGCCCCYGGAUCUGCAGGUGCUCCAACGGCCGUGGGUGGCCCCAGGCCAGGAGCGGCAGCUCCAGCAAAAUAUUUACCUGAGUGGCACCGUGCCACCGGCUGCCUGCCUGCCUGCUCUGCCCAGCAGGGCGAAGCACGAUGCCGCACGGCUCUGCACGGCUCUGCACUGCUCUGCGUGGCUUUGCGUGGCCACACACGGCAAAGCACCGUUGUGUGUGCACGGCAAAACACGGCUCUGCANNNNNNNNNNNNNNNNNNNNNNNNNNNNNNNNNN
rnacentral:lncRNA from 1 species